rfam:Colletotrichum orbiculare MAFF 240422 contig06414, whole genome shotgun sequence.
GGCCUGCUGGCGCAACGGUAGCGCGUUCGACUCCAGAUCGAAAGGUUACCCGUUCAAAUCGGGUGCGGGUCA